UCAAUUUGACGAUUAGUAGUCUCGUCAAGAUGUGAAAAUUUAUCGUUUGUUCGCUCAAUAUGAAUGAAUCUUAUCUACAUUCGUGCUUCUGGAAUUCAUUACAUUUCGCUGAAGAUUUUUCGUUGUUCACCUCUUAUCAAAAUUCUCAUAAAUUCUUCGUAUUGCUGAUUGCCUUGCAUAUCAGUGCAUUGGUUAUGUUCUACGCGAACGUAUUAUUCUGCAGAGACGUGGAUAUACUGCUCAAUCAAACAGAUGAAUGCAUAAAAGUUAUUAAAAUCAAACUAAAAUCCAUCCAAUCGGAUCAUAAGAAGUUGACCAAUAUUAAAAAACGAACGGAAGAGCAAACGGAGACUUGUCGCAAAUGUGAACAUAUGAUUUCAAUGCUGCGUACUGCUUGUGUAAAUAACUUUAGAAACAUAUCAGAAAUUAACAGCGAAAACUGACGUAUAAAAAUUAAGACAACUUUAUCUUGUUGGAUAUAUGGAAGUGAACAAUAUUAAAAACUAAUGGUGAUUUUCUACAACAAGCAAUUAUCACAAUUUUCAUCUGAGUUAUUUCACAAGUAAUCGUGCUACGACUUCAAUUUGUAUUUCUACACCAAUUGGGCUACAUAUAUUAAUUCAUUUUA